rnacentral:rRNA from 1 species
AACGAACGCUGGCGGCAGGCCUAACACAUGCAAGUCGAACGCUCCGCAAGGGGAGUGGCAGACGGGUGAGUAACGCGUGGGAACCUUCCCAGUGGUACGGAAUAGCCCAGGGAAACUUGGGGUAAUACCGGAUAAGCCCGAGAGGGGAAAGAUUUAUCGCCAUUGGAUGGGCCCGCGUCGGAUUAGCUAGUUGGUGAGGUAAAGGCUCACCAAGGCGACGAUCCGUAGCUGGUUUGAGAGAACGACCAGUCACACUGGCACUGCGACACGGGCCAGACUCCUACGGGAGGCAGCAGUAAGGAAUAUUGCGCAAUGGGCGAAAGCCUGACGCAGCGACGCCGCGUGGGGGAUGAAGGUCUUCGGAUU